GACGAACGCUGGCGGCGUGCUUAACACAUGCAAGUCGAACGGAAAGGCCCUGCUUUUGUGGGGUGCUCGAGUGGCGAACGGGUGAGUAACACGUGAGUAACCUGCCCUUGACUUUGGGAUAACUUCAGGAAACUGGGGCUAAUACCGGAUAGGAGCUCCUGCUGCAUGGUGGGGGUUGGAAAGUUUCGGCGGUUGGGGAUGGACUCGCGGCUUAUCAGCUUGUUGGUGGGGUAGUGGCUUACCAAGGCUUUGACGGGUAGCCGGCCUGAGAGGGUGACCGGCCACAUUGGGACUGAGAUACGGCCCAGACUCCUACGGGAGGCAGCAGUGGGGAGUAUUGCACAAUGGGCGGAAGCCUGAUGCAGCGACGCCGCGUGCGGGAUGACGGCCUUCGGGUUGUAAACCGCUUUCGCCUGUGACGAAGCGUGAGUGACGGUAAUGGGUAAAGAAGCACCGGCUAACUACGUG
rnacentral:rRNA from 1 species